rnacentral:misc_RNA from 1 species
CCGAAGUACAGGCCCUCUCGAGGGCUACACUUCCACCCUUUGUGAACUACACUUUGUUGCUUUGGCGAGACGCCCUCGGCCACCGGCUCCGGCUGGUGAGUGCUCGCCAGAGAAAACCCAAACCCCAACCAUUCAGUGUCGUCUGAGAACUAAGUUUAAUUAUUUA